rnacentral:rRNA from 1 species
GAUGAACGCUGGCGGUAUGCCUAACACAUGCAAGUCGUACGAGAGUUUUUUACUCAAGUGGCGGACGGGUGAGUAACACGUGAGAAUUUGCCUUUAGGAGAGGGAUAACAAUUGGAAACGAUUGCUAAUACCUCAUAUGCUUGAGAGUGAAAUAGAUUUAUCUGCCUAAAGAAAAGCUCGCGGCUGAUUAGCUAGUUGGUAAGGUAAUGGCUUACCAAGGCGGCGAUCAGUAUCUGGUUUGAGAGGACGAUCAGACACACUGGAACUGAGACACGGUCCAGACUCCUACGGGAGGCAGCAGUGGGGAAUUUUCCGCAAUGGGCGAAAGCCUGACGGAGCAAUACCGCGUGAGGGAAGACGGCCUAUGGGUUGUAAACCUCUUUUUUCAGGGAGGAAUCAAUGACGUGUACCUGAAGAAUAAGCAUCGGCUAACUCCGUGCCAGCAGCCGCGGUAAGACGGAGGAUGCAAGUGUUAUCCGGAAUCACUGGGCGUAAAGCGUCUGUAGGUGGUUUAAUAAGUCAACUGUUAAAUCUUGAGGCUCAACCUCAAAAUCGCAGUCGAAACUAUUAGACUAGAGUAUAGUAGGGGUAAAGGGAAUUUCCAGUGGAGCGGUGAAAUGCGUAGAGAUUGGAAAGAACACCAAUGGCGAAGGCACUUUACUGGGCUAUAACUGACACUCAGAGACGAAAGCUAGGGUAGCAAAUGGGAUUAGAUACCCCAGUAGUCCUAGCUGUAAACAAUGGAUACUAGAUGUUGAACAGAUCGACCUGCGCAGUAUUAAAGCUAACGCGUUAAGUAU